GAUCCUGGCUCAGAAUCAACGCUGGCGGCGCGCUUAACACACGCAAGUCGAACGGGAAAGUGGGCAACCAUGAGUACAGUGGCGUACGGGUGAGUAACACGUGGGUAAUCUACCUCUUAGUGGGGAAUAACCCUGGGAAACCGGGGCUAAUACCGCAUAAGCUCGAGAGAGGAAAGUCGCAAGACGCUGAGAGAGGAGCCCGCGGCUGAUUAGCUAGUUGGUGAGGUAAUGGCUCACCAAGGCUAUGAUCGGUAGCCGGCCUGAGAGGGCUCACGGCCACACUGGCACUGAAACACGGGCCAGACUCCUACGGGAGGCA
rnacentral:rRNA from 1 species